ACUCCUACGGGAGGCAGCAGUGGGGAAUAUUGGACAAUGGGCGAAAGCCUGAUCCAGCCAUGCCGCGUGUGUGAAGAAGGUCUUCGGAUUGUAAAGCACUUUAAGUUGGGAGGAAGGGCAGUUACCUAAUACGUGAUUGUUUUGACGUUACCGACAGAAUAAGCACCGGCUAACUCUGUGCCAGCAGCCGCGGUAAUACAGAGGGUGCAAGCGUUAAUCGGAAUUACUGGGCGUAAAGCGCGCGUAGGUGGUUAGUUAAGUUGGAUGUGAAAUCCCCGGGGCUCAACCUGGGAACUGCAUUCAAAACUGACUGACUAGAGUAUGGUAGAGGGUGGUGGAAUUUCCUGUGUAGCGGUGAAAUGCGUAGAUAUAGGAAGGAACACCAGUGGCGAAGGCGACCACCUGGACUGAUACUGACACUGAGGUGCGAAAGCGUGGGGAGCAAACA
rnacentral:rRNA from 1 species